UUGCCUUGUGCUCUUUUUUCACAAAAAACUUUAGAAACCCAUAUUAGAAAGCGUAGUUAAUUUCUUAAGAAAGUAAAAAUAAGCUUUUUAUUGCAAUCUUUUCUUGACCGUUUUCUUGAGAGCUGCAUACAGGCUAUUUAAUCAGAUUAUCGGUCUACGCAACACCAUUUUGGGGAGACAAAGCAAACUGGAGGCUAAGGUCGAUGAUUUGCGAAAGAAGAUAACCGAAAAUGUCAGAAGUUUACUCAUUUUCGUAUAAUAUUAUCAGCCCAUAAUGAAAUAAACAUACGAUGCCAGAUCGAUGCGAGGUGGUGGCUCAGCAAUAAACUCUCCGAGAAUGCAAAUUGCUUAUCAAAAAGGUCCAUCAGUCAUUCUGUCGAAUAAAAGGGGGCGCUGUUAUUGAGUUCCAAUUGGAAAUUUCAGAUGUUCUCCUAUUAAAAGCCAUCGACGCAUUGUUUGAUGUGUAGGAAAAACUACAAGGCAAUGAAUAUAAAGAGGAAAUGAUAUCUUACAUAUUCACAUUGGGCGCUCCGUCUGGAAAUAUUGAUGGGACGAUAAAAAAAUGUUUUCGGACGAAUUGUUAAUCAAUUUUAAUUGGGAUGACAGGUGUGGAAAGAGAGCGUUAAUGAAACUUAAGCUCAUUGACCGCAUCUUAUUUGAUAUUUUUAAACUCAAAGGCCGCGUCAAUUUCGAAAAAGAAGUAAAAACAGCGUUCGUGUCAGCCAUAAUAGGCAGAAGCAAAAAAAAGUAUGCCGCAAAAAACCUUCGCAACAGGAAGGCGAAUAGUUUGAAUUUCUUUCUUUUUAACUGCAUUUUCUUCAUAGUGGAUUUUAAUUUUAAGUUUUUAUGUGAAAAUUAGGAUCUUUUUAAUACUUCAUUGAUUUUUCUUGUAUAAUUUUUAUCUUAUAUAUUUACUUUCGGCUUUUUAAUGCUCGACGAAGAAGAAGUUGAUAUUUUAACGUUUUUAUGUAAAAAUUUAUAUAAUUAAUUUUAGUAUUUAAACUUUAUACUAUUGAAGUUUAUCGAGAAAGUCGAUAUUUUUGUUCUUAAAUUAAUAUGUCAAAGAUAUCAUAUGGUUCAGUUUAUUAUAUUAUUGUCUUCAAACAACUGAAGCUUCUAAGUCUUAUAAAGUGUGAUAUUUUAACGUUAAAUCAAGAAAUUCUAAUUUUUGAGAUCCCAAAAAUGUGAUUGAACUAAUGUUCAUUAUAUGUAUUAAUAUUCGACAAUAUUAAUAUCUCAAAGAUCUCGUUUUGUUACCGGAAGGCGAAUAGUUUUAAUGUCGUUCUAAUUAACUGAUUUUUUUCCUAGUGGAUUUUAAUUAUUAAUGUUUAUGUGAAAAUUAAGAGCUUUUUACUAUUGUAGUUCAUCGAUUUUUUGCAGUUUUUAUUUUAUGCUUACUUUUUCCUUUUUUUUUGAGUUUUUAUGUGAAAAUUUAGAUCAUUAAUUUUAGUCCUUAAACUUUUUUUAUUGAAGUUCAUCGAGAAAGUCGAUAUUUUUGUUCUCACAUUAAUGUAUCAAGAUAUCAUAUGGUUACAGUUCAUUAUAUUAAUGUUUUCAAACCACUGAAACUUCU